AUUGUACAAUUGUAGUGACACUACUGGCCUCCCAUAUGGUAGACCUUGACCUGGACUCCACAUGCAGACGGACCUGCUCCAGCUCUUAAAAACCAGUUUAGAGACCUGAAUCGAAGCCAGAAGAGUUUAAGGGCUUAAGUCAACACACUGAGACUCCACAUCAAACCACUCUUGCUUCUCCAUCUCUGCCUUUAUGACUGGGUUUAGAUAACUGGGCUUCUGCUACAUACCUCUGUUCCAGUGUCUGGGUGCCCGAUGAGUAAUGCCCGAAACUGGGUGU
rnacentral:lncRNA from 1 species